UGCCAGCCGCCGCGGUAAUACGGAGGGUGCAAGCGUUGUUCGGAAUCAUUGGGCGUAAAGCGAGCGCAGGCGGAAUGGUAAGUCGGAUGUGAAAGCCCUCGGCUCAACCGAGGAAGUGCACUCGAUACUGCCAUUCUUGAGUACUGGAGAGGAAAGCGGAAUUCCCGGUGUAGAGGUGAAAUUCGUAGAUAUCGGGAGGAACACCAGUGGCGAAGGCGGCUUUCUGGACAGAUACUGACGCUGAGGCUCGAAAGCGUGGGGAGCAAACAGGAUUAGAUA
rnacentral:rRNA from 1 species